UAAAGAGGCUAAGUCAAUAACUAUUGAUUCAUUUAAUGAACAUCUUCUUCGUCUUCCUACAAGAACAUUUUUGCACUUUCCUCUGACUAACAAAUGAUGUAUUUGUCACACUGUCAUAUGUGUCUCAUCAUUUUUGCCUUUCAUGGAUUCAACUAUUAAAGUCAAAUAAGGAAAAUGAAACUGGUUUACAUUAAAUCAAAACUCUCGUUUGCCCGUUAUGACAUUUAAUGGAAAUGGUAAGUUCAUUACUGGAAAAUUUAACUCAGGGACAACAUUGUUAGACUGGAAAAGUUAUGAAGCUAGUUGGUGAUAUUCAUGAAGUUCACCCAACUGACAGCUUCUAUCCAAUUGCACUCAUCAGGACUUGUAACCAAGGCUCGAUCUUUCUUGAUAUUUCUGCUUCUUUUUUCUCUCCUCGUGGAUUCCUGGAUUUCAUUACAAUUUCCAUCUAAUAAUACAUCAGUAUGAAGCUGGCCACAAGUUGAUACAAAUGGCUGACAAGCUUUAGGAAUACUUAAACCAAGAAACCCAAAAUUCAUAGAUUGAUCAUUUUCAUCAUAAUCGACUUCAUGUUUGAUAUUUACAAAUAAUACAAACGAAUAGCAAAACAAUUUGAUUUAAUUUCUACUUUGAGUUCUACUUUACUACACAAUUCCUGAGGUUUUUCUCGACUUCUUGACAAGGAACUUUUCAACCUUUUAGGACAUCAAGGGUUCAUAAACAACCUGAAAGCUUUCGAUUAAUCAGAUUAUUAAUAUUUUCAUCAAUUGUACCCAUGAAUAUCAAGACAAAGCCUGAUUAAAAAGGUUACCUGUUUAAGCUGGCCAACAAUUUAAUCAAUAAUUCUUUGCUUCUAUCAAUGAGGUUUGGAGCAACCUGAUUCAAUGACGAUGGCCAUUGUUUUUUUUAAAUAACGUUUUCUGAUCGAUCUUGAUGGAUUUGACAAGUAGAUGAUUAAGAUGAAGAUGAUUCAGUGCUGUGAAUAAAAUAAAGAGCUAAAGAUGAAAUCAACAAGAGGGAAGGAUAAAGUUGAAGAGGAUGAGAAAGCGGAAGAAGAAGGAGCAACGAAGAUGAUGAAGAUAAUUCUAAAUACAAUACAAGCGAUGAGUUAAUGAACAAUAGAAACUAAAUUCACCACCUUUGUAGAUUAAGUGUUUCAGACUCUUCAGACUUUCCUGGCUCAUGGUUGUUACAUCUACAAGACUUUCAAGGAAAAAUCAGGAAGCAGUUAAAAUGAAUUGACGAUUUUAUUUACAACUUUGACAUUAAGUUUAAUGGAAUUGGAUUUUGGCUUUACAUUUUAUACACAUUCAACAUCUAGACCAUUUUUAGAUGAUAAUCCAAUGCAAUGUUGGACUAUUAUUUACUUUUUUCAGAAACCAGGAAAGAAAACAAAAACCAAGCAAGUCUAAGGAUGCAUAAGGAGGGGUAAAGGAACACAGAUGAAGAGAGAUUACAGUCUUGCACAAAAUCUUGAUUCAAAUCCAUUGAUGUUUGAUUUUAAAGUUUGCUUUGAUAGCUGUGUCAGUGUCAAUGCAAUCCCGGAAGUUUAAUUAAUUCAACUCAAAAUAUUCAGUUUCAACAACACGAGUUGGAUCACAAAGCAUUAUCAUUAUCGUUACAUACACACCAUCACCAGCAGAAAAUACCAGUGAAACUGUUCAAUUAAAAUCCACCAUCAUCAUCAGAGUGAUUAACACUUGAGCUUACUCUCCUCUGUUUCUGGUAUCUCAUUAUUUUGGCAAACUAUUACAAUGAUAAUGUUAUUGGUUUAAAAUGAUUCAUUCACUUGUAGAUAUAACCAACCCUGUUUAAAUUGAAUUCAAAAACAAAAACAACCCAAGUUAACAUCUUUACAAUUACAUUACAAUUAUUGUUGAUAUUAUAAUUUUGUGUCUUGUAAUUGAAAAAAUAAGGAAGUUACCUAAAUGUUAAUGUUUAAAUUCAAUACAGACCAAUGUAUUCCUUGAUAGAUGAAAUCAUUUCUCAUAAUUGUACCUCUUGGCUAAUUAAUUGGACAAUUACAUUGUUAAAACCAUGUUAAAUUGUGUAUCAGAAAUGAUGAAUAAUAAAUUGAUGGAAAUAUCUUUCAAUCGAUAAAA